CAUACUUUUGCAUCGAAUUGAAAAUAAACCGUAUGUGGUUGAAUAUUUCAUAUUUCCCAUGUAGAUUU